rnacentral:rRNA from 1 species
UACAGAGGUCUCGAGCGUUGUUCGGAUUCAUUGGGCGUAAAGGGCGCGUAGGCGGCGGGGUAAGUCUGGUGUGAAAUCUCGGAGCUCAACUCCGAAAUUGCACUGGAUACUGCUCUGCUAGAGGGCUGGAGAGGAGAUCGGAAUUCACGGUGUAGCAGUGAAAUGCGUAGAUAUUCGGAAGAACACCAGUGGCGAAGGCGACUCACUGGCCCGUUACUGACGCUGAGGCGCGAAAGCGUGGGGAGCAAACAGG